CUGAGCUGGGGCGCGGCCGCCUGUCUGCACAGACAGCACCAUGUCGCUCAUGGUCGUCAGCAUGGUGUGUGUUGGGUUCUUCUUGCUGCAGGGGGCCUGGCCACAUGAGGCUUUGAAGGUGGAGGAAGGCCAAGAUCCAUGAAUGCAGGUGGCCUAUAGAGGCUGGAAAAGUCAAGGAACUGAUUCUCCAGAGUCUCCAGAGGGAACAAAGCCCUGCGAGUCCACAGAAAACCUUCCCUCCUGGCCCACCCAGGUCCCCUGGUGAAAUCAGAAGAGACAGUCAUCCUGCAAUGUUGGUCAGAUGUCAGGUUUCAGCACUUCCUUCUGCACAGAGAAGGGAAGUUUAAGGACACUUUGCACCUCAUUGGAGAGCACCAUGAUGGGGUCUCCAAGGCCAACUUCUCCAUCGGUCCCAUGAUGCAAGACCUUGCAGGGACCUACAGAUGCUACGGUUCUGUUACUCACUCCCCCUAUCAGUUGUCAGCUCCCAGUGACCCUCUGGACAUCGUCAUCACAGGUCUAUAUGAGAAACCUUCUCUCUCAGCCCAGCCGGGCCCCACGGUUCUGGCAG
rnacentral:misc_RNA from 1 species